rnacentral:rRNA from 1 species
ACCAAAUCCUCAACGAUGGAUAUCUAGGUUCCGGCGACGAUGAAGAACGCAGCGAAGUGCGAUAAGCAGUGCGAAUUGCAGAGCCGAGAGUCAUCAGAUUUUUGAACGUAACUGACGCCGGGGGGUACUCUCCUCGGCAUGCCUUCUCCAGU